UUAUUUUUCCUUUUUUCUCCCCAAAGCCCCCCGGUACAUAGUUGUAUAUUCUUCGUUGUGGGUCCUUCUAGUUGUGGCAUGUGGGAUGCUGCCUCAGCGUGGUUUGAUGAGCUGUGCCAUGUCCGCGCCCAGGAUUCGAACCAACGAAACACUGGGCCGCCUGCAGCAGAGCGCGCGAACUUAACCACUCGACCACGGGGCCAGCCCCAGAAAAGCGUUAACUUUUAAAAUGUUGGCUGGCGAUCAACUUAGUUGGACUCAAAAAAAUGUCUCUGGGGCUGCAGCUCAAAUCAGUUCAGGUCUUUUACCCUCCAUGCAUAUGUGGUUCAUGGGUCUUCCGAAAACUGGGGUGACAUUUAUGAGCAGAAUUUGAGGGUCUUCCUUUCUGGUUCUGUCCAGUUUUGGACUCCUCGCCUCUACUUUGCAGUGGCUGUGAUUGUUCCAAACCCUGUCCUCUGGUCCUUCAGACCAGAAAGUGUUGUUUUCCACAGGACAGUAAGUUGUUCCAUGCAACAGUGACGUGACCUGUUCUCAGGAGACAAGCCACAAACACAGGAACCUUUCUCCAUGCCUUUUCCUUCAUCCAAUGUCCCUUCUCUCUUCAGAGCCUUCAGGAAGGUCGUUGUGUCCACUUGUUUGUGAUCUUUUUGUUUCGUAUUUCCUGCAGAAUGUUAGUUGUUCCCUGUGUGAAGAUGGAUCCAGUAGGCACUCACUUGGCCACAGCACAGGCUGAACUCCUUCCUCUCCUCCGGGAACGGUUCCCCUGGCAUUGCACUGCGCUGCCCUACUCUGGAAGCUGGACACUCUUGCCUCUCCAGAGUCUCCUGCAAGUUCCAGUCUGUUCACCUGAAAGAUACGGGAAUCCCAGCUUGUCCUGAAUCCCAUGCAGGGCUUCAGGGAAGCUGGCCGGUGAUCUUUGCUUAUCCUCCAACUCCCCCUUCUGGAUCUGUAUUUCUCUAGCUUUUCCCACAAUUAUAUAAGGCUCAUUCCUAAAAUAAAUUCCCUCUUCACAGUGGUUCUGCCUCCUUAACUGAGCCUUGCCUAACACAGCAGCAUUUGAGUUCCAUCAAUAAAGACAAUGGCAACCCGAAGGAUUUAUGUGCAAGGCCUUCUGUAGUGCUCAGCAGGGAGAGAACCACUCCUCCCCUUGGCCGGCCUUGCUCCUAGUCCCAGCUGGCCUGAGCUCCAAUCUCGGAACGCUCCAUCAAGAUCCAAUGUCAGGCUCCUGAGCUCCAUUAAGGCAACUGCUUUAAGCUGGAAACACUAUCUACUGAAAUCCGACUACAGAUGGGCCGCCCCAGGAAGGACCACAACUUCUACUCACAAGUCAGAGGCAAAGGGGCUAAUGGUGACCAGUACUGGUCCUGAGGAGAAGGACGCCAUCACUGUGAAACGCUGCUGAGCUUGAUGACACUGCUGUCUGCCACUUUGCUCAGAGGCCAAAACCUGAGCUCUUCUUCUUUCUCUUUCUCAACCAGCAGACAACGCCGGUCGUUGCCACCAGGGAGCACUGUUUACCCUGUAACCAUCUGCGGGCCGCAAGUGGGUUAGCGAGCAGAGCUGUUUCUCGCAGAAAUUAAUGGAAUCAGCAUUACAUUGUUCCAAGCAUCAAAACAAGACGCUUUCGGCAGUUUUCCAUCUGAGACUCAAUCCUUUUUUAACAGGCCAUCGGAGAGCUUUAAGAGGGGUCCAGAACAGUGUGGUGGGUCUUCCUGCGCAGCUCCUUUAGCGACUUGGAUUGUCUGAACCUGAGAAAGGUGGUUGAAGACAGCUAGUCCUGUGUUAAAGUGGUCGGUGUCCCUCCUUCCCCGAACUGGCUGGAUUUUAAUGAAUCACAAGCAAUGUCAUAACUUAGGAUGCUGAGCCCGGUCGGCCAGAGGGGCCUUAAAAGGCAGAUUAAUAUUACAACUCAAGUGCUGUCUUGCAUCCCGUGAGUUUGAAUUAUUUCCUAUUAAAAAUGCAGUGCUUAGGUUCUAAUGAGUAAUGACUAUAAAACUGAGGGAAAACCCCCGAAGACUUAGAAGUGGCGUGGAUGAAAUCAAUAUAAUAGUUGAAUCCACCCCAACUCCAUACCACCGACUUUGGAGUUAGUUUAAUCUCUUUCUUCUGGCUGGCGGUUAUGGGGACUGACCAGGCGUAACAAUUUCUGUUCCUGUUCAUGGGCUGUCCCAUGUUACUGUCUUGUUCUUUCUUCCGCAAAGACUCUGCCCUCCUGUCUUUCUUUCCCGGCGUCACUAUUAAUCUCCCACCAUCCCUGAAGCCUGUGAUCAAAGAUCACUUCCUCGAAGGCAUCAUUUAGAAUUUACUCAACAAUAUUUAUCGAGUGCCAGGUCUGUUCUGGGUCUGUCCUGGGUUCUGGGAAGUGGCCAUGGAAAGAAAGACCUUGCUGAGGGGGAACAUUUGAGAGGAGAGGGAAAUUAUAAGAGAACUUCAGAGAGAACUAGCAAGCGCAAAGUCCGUGAGGGAGAAUGAGCAGAGCCUGUACAGCGAACAGUAGUAAGGUGAGUGUAGAUGGAGUGUAGGUCGGCUGUGACACUGUUCUGAUCUUCUCUGGGCUCCUACAUUUAAUUUAUGCCUGUUUUCUGAGGUUUAUUCAAGAUAUUUGUGCAUGCGUCUUAUCUUCUUGAUUACACUCUCUGAGGAGAGGGCCCCCAGCCCAGUGCUCACCCACAG
ensembl:lncRNA